rnacentral:misc_RNA from 1 species
AAGUCGUAACAAGGUUUCCGUAGGCGAACCUGCGGAAGGAUCAUUAAAAGUGAUUGGUUAUACAUUUCAUGUAUCAACUGCAUUAACCCAUUCCGAGUACCUUUGCCUUGUUGGCUUCCAUGGGGCCUGACCUAGGUCACUCUUCGUGAUGUGCAAACCCAAGAGAGUCCCCAAUGGGAGGUAAUCAAUUAAAUUCAUGUAUCCAAUGUCUUCUGAUUCAUAGAACUGUUUAUAACAAAUGUUAAAA